CACUCCUGCGGGAGGCAGCAGUGGGGAAUAUUGGACAAUGGGCGCAAGCCUGAUCCAGCCAUGCCGCGUGAGUGAUGAAGGCCCUAGGGUUGUAAAGCUCUUUCACCGGUGAAGAUAAUGACGGUAACCGGAGAAGAAGCCCCGGCUAACUUCGUGCCAGCAGCCGCGGUAAUACGAAGGGGGCUAGCGUUGUUCGGAUUUACUGGGCGUAAAGCGCACGUAGGCGGACUAUUAAGUCAGGGGUGAAAUCCCGGGGCUCAACCCCGGAACUGCCUUUGAUACUGGUAGUCUUGAGUUCGAGAGAGGUGAGUGGAAUUCCGAGUGUAGAGGUGAAAUUCGUAGAUAUUCGGAGGAACACCAGUGGCGAAGGCGGCUCACUGGCUCGAUACUGACGCUGAGGUGCGAAAGCGUGGGGAGCAAACAGGAUUAGAUACCCCUGUAGUCCCAUGAU
rnacentral:rRNA from 1 species